AGGGGGGCUGCUCCUAGUACGAGAGGACCGGAGUGGACGCAUCACUGGUGUUCGGGUUGUCAUGCCAAUGGCACUGCCCGGUAGCUAAAUGCGGAAGAGAUAAGUGCUGAAAGCAUCUAAGCACGAAACUUGCCCCGAGAUGAGUUCUCCCUGAGACUUUAAGUCUCCUGAAGGAACGUUGAAGACGACGACGUUGAUAGGUCGGGUGUGUAAGCGCAGCGAUGCGUUGAGCUAACCGAUACUAAUGAACCGUGAGGCUUAACCUUAC
rnacentral:rRNA from 1 species